GACGAACCGUGCGAACGUUGUUCGGAUUCACUGGGCGGAAAGGGCGCGUAGGCGGGAUGGCAAGUCGGUCGUGAAAUCCUUCGGCUCAACCGAAGAACGUCGGCCGAUACUGCCGUUCUUGAGGGAUGCAGAGGAGAUUGGAAUUCCCGGUGUAGCGGUGAAAUGUGUAGAGAUCGGGAGGAACACCGGUGGCGAAGGCGGGUCUCUGGGCAUCUCCUGACGCUGAGGCGCGAAAGCGUGGGGAGCAAACGGG
rnacentral:rRNA from 1 species